rnacentral:siRNA from 1 species
GAUCUCCUUCCUGUGUUUGUCAUC